rnacentral:lncRNA from 1 species
GUGUAAUAUAAUAAAAGGCUUCGCCAUUAACAUGUCAACAUGCAUAAAUCACUUGUUUAAUCUUGCCUAUUUUAUGAGGUAAGAGCGGCCUGGCAUCGGACUGUGCAUGCAGAAUGCACCGGGGGGAACGUGGCGGGGGGUACUAGCGUUGGUGGGAGGCCUCAAAACGACGCCGAUACGAGUCAUGCCCGACAUGGUCGCAUGCAUGAGUCCCAUGAUUCUCUCUACACACGCAGUCGACAUGCAAGGCACGCGGAGGGGGACGAAGGAAGGAGAGAUCCGCGGGGAGAAUAUAUGGAAGCCGAGUAGAGACGACAGAUCGUCUACUGCCUCAGUCGACCUCUCCCCCUUCCAUUAUGCCGGCCAGCUUGCUCACGCAUGCUCCACCUCACCUGGUGAUGGGGUUAAGUGAUGAUUAACCAAAAGCUCAGGCCUACAGCACCGUGUCGUCGUACUAAAUCAACGCUUACGUAGUACUAUCCAUCUUUCCCUUCACUGUGAAGUUUCUUUGCAUAAUGUUGCGCAGCACACUUGCCUGUGCAGAGAAGCCGACGCCCAAAAGCUUAAUUAGCACCGCGAACAGAAAGAUCACGAAAGUUUCACAAGAUUACACUGCGGCAUGCAUGGGCUGAGCGGGCCAUCGACUGUCUAUCUAACUAAUCUGAUCGAUCUGGAAAAACAGAGCCAGCCCGCGCCCAGCGAGCCUUUGGAAGAACCCCAUCUGAUGAUGAUUACGGCAUUACGGUGCUGUUUCUUUAUUUUUUCCUUGCACCUUUGAGGUAGACAGCUCACGCCCCUGAUCUUACAGCUAAGUCCCAGCCCAGCCUUGUCCCUUUGCGGGUCUCCUCCCAUUCCCAAUCCAGUCAAACCUGAGCUCGAUUCCUCCCUCCACUUUCUCUCUCUCUCUCUCUNN